rnacentral:rRNA from 1 species
AUUGAACGCUGGCGGCGUGCUUAACACAUGCAAGUCGAGCGGUAACAGGCGUAGCAAUACGUGCUGACGAGCGGCGAACGGGUGCGUAAUACAUGGGAAUCUGCCCUUUGGUGGGGAAUAACCCGGCGAAAGCCGGGCUAAUGCCGCAUGAGAUCUUCGGAUGAAAGCGGGGGAUCGUAAGACCUCGCGCCGAUGGAUGAGCCCAUGUCGGAUUAGCUAGUUGGUGAGGUAACGGCUCACCAAGGCGACGAUCCGUAGCUGGUCUGAGAGGACGGCCAGCCACACUGGGACUGAGACACGGCCCAGACUCCUACGGGAGGCAGCAGUGGGGAAUAUUGGACAAUGGGCGAAAGCCUGAUCCAGCGACGCCGCGUGUGUGAAGAAGGCCUGCGGGUUGUAAAGCACUUUCGAUGGGAACGAAAUGUGCCGGGCUAAUACCCCGGCAAGCUGACGUUACUCAAUGAAGAAGCACCGGCUAACUCUGUGCCAGCAGCCGCCGUAAGAC